ACCAGAGCUCUCGGAGAUCAACAAAGGUGCCGCUUUUGAAUGUGAAAGUUUUUUCAAGACUUUUCUAUUUCUUGGUUUGAAUCGUGUGCCUGUAGGGACACAUGCUACCUGCUUACUGGACAGUGACUACUUAGGAUAAGGACUCAGACACACAAGUGGAGAAGAUAAAUAGUAAUUUGGAACCAAAACUCAGGACGUCCCAGGAGAGGCUAGAUUAGGAAUUCUUUGAUUUGGGAUCACGAAAAUGAAGUAUCCAUAUUUUAACAGAAUGAUUAGUGGCAGAGGAAUCAUCUAAGAAAACUGAGAAGACUCUGCCAGAGUGAUGGGAAGAAAACUAGAUGAGAAAGCACCAUUCUGGAAGACAUGCUCCCAUGAACCAUGGAGAGAAGAGGAGAGGGAAGAAGUUAUUUGUGAUGUCAUUUGCCUGUGUCAUGGCCUGCCUUCCCUAGAUAUUGUCCUAAUGUGAGCAUCACACCUAAGGUACUGAAGUAGAGUUCUGGCUGUUCCUUACGGACAUCUCUGGUGUUGGGAUCCAGAGAACCUUCCCCUUCUGAGCAGCAAAACCAAAUAAAGCAGUUCUCAGGAUACAAAGACAAGACUGAGGAAGAUCCUAAUAAGGUGUUGCAAGGUGACACAGGACAAACUUUGUCCAAAGGAAAUUGAUCUGACAAGAACUUCUGGACUUGUCAGUUCUUAGGGCUGACUGGUCUAUCCUCUUUCUAUUGACUUUGGCUUACUAGACUCAAGCAGAAAGUGACAAGGGAAGAAAAGGAUACAAACAGAAGCAAGUUUCCAAGAACAAGGUUUACAUCAGGAAGAGCCAAUCAAAGAUCAUAUCUGGAGGACUGCUGCAAAGUUGUGAUAAAUGACCAAAUAGUAUUUUUAUAGAAGGUGGAAUGAAUGACAGACUAAAGAUUUCAGCUGAUUAAAGAAAUUAUGGAGUGCAUCAUUCUCAGUUUAUAUUGAACUGGGGUUCCUGAGAAAUUCCUCCUUAUAAAUUUACAUGGAAAUUAUAAUUUUUACUAGUUGAUUUCAGUUAAUUAGCCUACUGAAUAAUUUGAUUCUUGCACUCACUAAAAGAUCAUAGAGCACAAGAAUACCAUUUACAAAAUACUUUAAAAGUGGGGAUAUAAACACAAAUAAGGUCUUGUACCAACCUUGAAGGGAUUUUCAGUCUAGGUAAAAACCAUUUAAAAUAAAAAGAGGGCAUCCUUGUUUUAUUCCUGUAUUUAAGAGAAUGUGUCUUUCAGUGUUUAAAAUAAUGUUUACUGCUGGUUUAUGAUAAAUACUUUAAAAAAUCACAUUAUGGGAAUGUUUUCCAAUUUUCAUUUCCUAAGAGAUUUUUGUCAGGAAUGUAGUUGAAUUUUAUUAAGUGUCUUUUCUGUAUCUCUUGAUAUAAUCAUGUGAUUUUCAGCUUUAAUAAAUGUCUUAAUAUUGAA
rnacentral:lncRNA from 1 species